rnacentral:rRNA from 1 species
CCUACGGGAGGCAGCAGUGGGGAAUAUUGGACAAUGGGCGAAAGCCUGAUCCAGCAAUGCCGCGUGAGUGAUGAAGGCCUUAGGGUUGUAAAGCUCUUUUACCCGGGAUGAUAAUGACAGUACCGGGAGAAUAAGCUCCGGCUAACUCCGUGCCAGCAGCCGCGGUAAUACGGAGGGAGCUAGCGUUGUUCGGAAUUACUGGGCGUAAAGCGCACGUAGGCGGCUUUGUAAGUUAGAGGUGAAAGCCUGGAGCUCAACUCCAGAAUUGCCUUUAAGACUGCAUCGCUUGAAUCCAGGAGAGGUGAGUGGAAUUCCGAGUGUAGAGGUGAAGUUCGUAGAUAUUCGGAAGAACACCAGUGGCGAAGGCGGCUCACUGGACUGGUAUUGACGCUGAGGUGCGAAAGCGUGGGGAGCAAACAGGAUUAGAUACCCUAGGUAGUCCACGCCGUAAACGAUGAUAACUAGCUGUCAGGGCUCUUAGAGCUUUGGUGGCGCAGCUAACGCAUUAAGUUAUCCGCCUGGGGAGUACGGUCGCAAGAUUAAAACUCAAAAUGAAAUUGAACCGGNGUGAGACGUGCGACGGACGACGACGAGGGAGAGG